rnacentral:rRNA from 1 species
UACGUAGGGUGCGAGCGUUAAUCGGAAUUACUGGGCGUAAAGCGUGCGCAGGCGGUUCGUUGUGUCGGCGGUGAAAGCCCCGGGCUUAACCUGGGAAUGGCCGUUGAAACUGGCGAACUGGAGUGUGGCAGAGGGGGGUGGAAUUCCGGCGUGUAGCAGUGAAAUGCGUAGAUAUGCGGAGGAACACCGAUGGCGAAGGCAAUCCCCUGGGCCUGCACUGACGCUCAUGCACGAAAGCGUGGGGAGCAAACAGG